rnacentral:rRNA from 1 species
UAAUACCGGAUAAGCCCUUACGGGGAAAGAUUUAUCGCCGAAAGAUCGGCCCGCGUCUGAUUAGCUAGUUGGUGAGGUAAUGGCUCACCAAGGCGACGAUCAGUAGCUGGUCUGAGAGGAUGAUCAGCCACAUUGGGACUGAGACACGGCCCAAACUCCUACGGGAGGCAGCAGUGGGGAAUAUUGGACAAUGGGCGCAAGCCUGAUCCAGCCAUGCCGCGUGAGUGAUGAAGGCCCUAGGGUUGUAAAGCUCUUUUGUGCGGGAAGAUAAUGACGGUACCGCAAGAAUAAGCCCCGGCUAACUUCGUGCCAGCAGCCGCGGUAAUACGAAGGGGGCUAGCGUUGCUCGGAAUCACUGGGCGUAAAGGGUGCGUAGGCGGGUCUUUAAGUCAGGGGUGAAAUCCUGGAGCUCAACUCCAGAACUGCCUUUGAUACUGAAGAUCUUGAGUUCGGGAGAGGUGAGUGGAACU